rnacentral:rRNA from 1 species
AACGUAGGUGGCAAGCGUUAUCCGGAUUUACUGGGCGUAAAGGGUGUGCAGGCGGGGUUGCAAGUGGUGUAUGAAAUCUCCCGGCUUAACCGGGAGGGGUUAUGCCAGACUGCAAUUCUAGAGGACGAGAGAGGGGGUGGAAUUCCGGGUGUAGUGGUGAAAUGCGUAGAGAUCCGGAGGAACCCCAGAGGCGAAGGCGGCCCCCUGGCUCGUACCUGACGCUCAGCCACGAAAGCAUGGGAGCGAACGGGAGUUAGAUG